UACACGUGCUAUUUGAAAUGUUUGAGAACCUAUUUAACCCUAUAUGUAUGCAUGAGAAUAUAAUGUGACCGUCCAAUGAGAUGAAAGAACAAAGUAACACAAUAAAACAUAGAUCGAGUGGCAUCCGACAAUGUAAAGUAAUGUGACACUAGAGUUAGUGUGUGGCAUCAAAGAAAAAUGUGACGCAAAGAACAAUGAUAAUGAUUAGAGACAAGUGAAGAAAAUGAAAGUGGCAUAAAGAACGAGUAAAAUUAAAGAACAAUGAUUGCUAGAGUUAGCAAAAUAAAGUGAUGUAAAGAACACUAGAGUUAGUGUAAAGAUAAUGAUUGAACUAUAUAUCCUUAGAGUUAAGGAUCGAUCAUACUUGCUAUGAGUUCCGUGCUCGAGGGCGGUC
rnacentral:lncRNA from 1 species